ACACAAUUCGAUGAGUGGAAAAAAAUGUGUACUAACUCAGACUUCGAACUUCUCUGGGGAAGAGGAAGAGGACGACGGUGGGAGGGUCUUUGGUGGCGGUGAGAUGAGGCGGAGGCGGCUGGGGGGUGAGAUGGGUGGGGCGGAUCGGGUUUGCCGAGGAGGGCUGCCGGUGGGCGACGCGGCUCGUGGGAACGCGGGGAUCGAUCAGGUGAUGCUCCGAUUCCGACCUAUAGCUCCGAAGCCGGCCACGGAGGGCCCGGGCCAAGGCGGGUCGCACGCGGGAAGCAAGGGGUGGCCACUUUCGGGUGCGAGAACCAAGAGGAAGUACGUUAGGGUUCGCAAGCCCAAGGGCAAUAGUAACUGUAGCAGUAAUAAUAACAACAGCAGCACCAGCAGCAGCACCAGCACCAAAAGCAAAAGAGCAGUAGCGCAAGGGCCAAAAGGAAAAGCAGGAGGGCCUGACGGCUCGUUGGGUUUGGAGAAGCAAAUAGUGACCCUCCAAUUGUUGCCUGAGAAAGCUGAUCAUGGAGAAUCUAAAGCGCUUAAAGCAAAGCCUCAGCCUCCCGAGCAGGAGCCUCGAUGGUGCACCACCAAUAGCUGCUGCGGUGCUCCCUUUGGUCCUGAUUUCAGCACCGUGAAUCUCGCCCUACCUAACCGGGUCCCACCCAUGUGGCCGCGCUCGGACCCCAUUCAUCGGAUUCGUUACCCUAGGGUGCUGGAGUGCUGGGUGUUCGUGGAGUCCGUGGCCGACGCGCGCAUUGACGCGCAGGACCCUCAGCUGGUAGGGCUCACCGACGCCGAGCGGAUGAGGAAUCUCGAGACCGACGCGUGCCCCGGGUUCCUGGCGGAUCCGAGCGACAGAGUGAAGUGGGUCAACGGAGCGUUCGAGAGGAUGGUGAUCAGGGAGCACUUGAGCGGCGGCACCGACAGCGGCCCGCCGCCGGCCGGGAUCGCGGUGAGGGUGGUGGCGAGGGAGGAGCUGCCCAAGACGCGGGCGGCAUUCGCGUGCAGGGCGACGGUGCGGCAGCGCGAGGAGAAGUGGGCCGCGAGGAUAAUGCCGUGCGACGUGUGGAGGAUGGACGAGGUGGGGGGGUUUGCAUGGAGGCUGGACGUUGAAGCUGCACUCAGCUUGGGUCUCCGCUGACACAACCCAAGAAUUUCGGGUGGGGGCACCGAUCAGUGUUUGAUGCGCUCUCAAUUAUUUUGCUGCUCGGUGGACGGAUCUCUUGCGAUUUCAGCGAAUACUGCCUUCCCCUCCUCCAUCAUCUCUCUGCUCUCUCUCUCUCUCUCUCUCUCUCUCUUUUUGUCAUUCUUUAUAAUCCUUAUCUUGUGCAGGUAUUUCCCACCUCUUAGAGAUUGAAGCUGAAAAAGAUCGGUUGAACACGGAACAAUGUAGAGUCUGAAGCUUGGAGACUGGAGGGAACUCGGUCUAAAGCUUAUAGCCUGAAAAACAAUUCUGUGGGUUUAUGUACCUACGGGGAAGAUGUAAAUGGUGGCAAAAUGUAUCUAUUUGGUUGAGUCUCGUAUGUGGUAAGAUAUAUUCUGGGUAUCUGGAAAGAUCAGAUGUUUCUGAUGAAACCGACGUGUGAUUGUAGCCAUGGCAACAAACUAAUCUUGCCAAAUGCCAUCUCUAUAAAUUGUAAUGUGUGCUUUGUGGGAAGUGAAAAGGCAGGAGUUGUUUGUGCUAACUAAAAUUUGCGUUUGGCAAUUGCACUUCUAUGGUGUAGAAGGUGGUUUUGUGGAA